UGUUAAACUCAUUGGAAAACAACUACCAUCAAUUAGACAAGUAGCCAAGUUGAUUGGCAAGUUUGUGGCUGCUUUUCCAGCUGUGCAGUAUGGGCAUCUGCAUUAUCAAGAAUUACAACAAGCUAA